rnacentral:rRNA from 1 species
GACGAACGCUGGCGGCGUGCUUAACACAUGCAAGUCGAACGGAAAGGCCCUGCUUUUGUGGGGUGCUCGAGUGGCGAACGGGUGAGUAACACGUGAGUAACCUGCCCUUGACUUUGGGAUAACUUCAGGAAACUGGGGCUAAUACCGGAUAGGAGCUCCUGCUGCAUGGCGGGGGUUGGAAAGUUUCGGCGGUUGGGGAUGGACUCGCGGCUUAUCAGCUUGUUGGUGGGGUAGUGGCUUACCAAGGCUUUGACGGGUAGCCGGCCUGAGAGGGUGACCGGCCACAUUGGGACUGAGAUACGGCCCAGACUCCUACGGGAGGCAGCAGUGGGGAAUAUUGCACAAUGGGCGGAAGCCUGAUGCAGCAACGCCGCGUGCGGGAUGACGGCCUUCGGGUUGUAAACCGCUUUCGCCUGUGACGAAGCGUGUGUGACGGUAAUGGGUAAAGAAGCACCGGCUAACUACGUG